rnacentral:ribozyme from 1 species
UUCCUUCAUUUUUUUCUUUCUUUCUUUCUUUCCUUUCUUCUUCUCUCUUUCUUUUCUUCACGCGGCCUCCUUGCAAACAGCUGGGAAGGAAGGAAUACAGGAGGAGGAAAUGAGAUUGCGAUGA